GCAACCAUAAUCUAGCUGGUUAGGAUUCAAGCCUUCCAAGCUUGCUACUCGGGUUCGAAUCCCGAUGGUUGCACCA
rnacentral:tRNA from 3 species